ensembl:lncRNA
GUCUAUAAAUGUUAGCUGCUAUUAUUUCUCUUGCUAGUGUAGUAUUUGCAGCAGCUCCACAUAGAAGAUUCCCCCAUAAAUGAGCAGACCAAACAAGGGAUGGAUUCGUUCAGUCCGGUCCCAGAAGGAAGUCUUGUUCCUGCAUAUAAAUGAUGGGUCAUCUUUGGAAAGCCUUCAGGUUGUAGCAGAUUCAAGCUUUGACAGCAAAGAACUGGCUUUUGGGAGUUCUGUGGAAGUUCAAGGGCAGCUGGUAAAAAGUCCAUCCAAAAGGCAAAAUGUGGAACUGAAGGCAGAAAAAAUUGAAGUUGUUGGAAAUUGUGAUGCCAAGGACAGUGGCUUUGUGCACAUUCAUACUCCAAUAAUCACAUCCAAUGACUGUGAGGGGGCUGGAGAACUUUUUCGAGUUGAACCUUCAAGCAAAGUAAAGGUCCCUGAGGAGAAUUUCUUCAAUGUUCCUGCUUUCUUAACUGUCUCGGGACAGCUUCACCUAGAAGUGAUGUCAGGGUACGGAAUUUUAUUUUCUCUUUUGCUUUAAUGGACUACUGAUUAUGGGCUGGGUGAGAUGCAAUAAUGCUUCCUUUCCCAAUGCUAAAACCUGAAAAUUGAAAUUCAUGUUUAUGAUUAGUCCACUUGAAUUCACCAGAAGUACAUUGAGAUUGACAAUUUGACAAUAUCCAAUUUUCUUACUUUAAAAAAACCCACAUUUGUCUAGACUUUUGUUUUUAAUGAAAAAUGUAACAGUGGAAAUAUGAAGUUGUGAUUUUCUUUUCUUUUUACUAAUCUUUUUUUGCUUAAAUCUCAAAAUAUGUAAUCAAGAUUUAACUAUAAUUAAUCAUGUUUAUGAAAGUAAAAGCAGUUAUAGUUUACACCUCAACUAGGUAUUAGCCCCUAUCAUUUAAAGAAGAAAGGUACCUGGAACAGAUGGAAGAAAAAUUUUUCUGCUAAUUUGUCUAAAUUAAGAAAAUUAACCCACAGGGCCAUCACGACAGGCGUAUGGCAACUUAGAAAGUCUUAGAAGUUAGAUUGCAUUAAUUUUAGCCACUCUCAGACCUCUGAAAAGUCACUAUACUCCUUUUGGCCCAACUUUCCUUUUCUUUAACACAGAGGAUUGGACAGGAAGAUCUUUAAAGUCCCAUCUAAAUCUUCUAUUCUGUGAUUCUGUGGGUAAUUUCUUAAUGCUAACUCAGCAAGUACUCAGUCUUCUUUAUAUAUCUUUGUUAUCUCAUACAGAGAUUGAGACUUAAAAAUCUCUUCAGGAAAUGGCUCCAGUGAAAACAAGGGAAUCUUUGUGCAUUUCCCAUUGUUUUUAAAAUGCGCAGGUGGGAAAAUUCAGGAGAAGUAGUAUAGAAUAGUGUUGAUGUUUGUUUUUUAUAUACUUUACUGACAGGAUGCAAAGUGAAUGGUGAAAUAGAGAUGGUCAUAAAAAUAACAUGUUUUUACUUAGAUUCUUUUCUCACUUAUCUUUGAGACAGAAAGAUGUUAUUUGAUAAUUCCAAUAACUAAAUAAUUGACAGUAUUAUCAUGCAGAAAAACUAUCAUCAUAAUAGCCCUGUGAGAUUGUAGGAUUUGCAGAGCUGUAUGUGGGAAAGGCCAGGUCAGGUAUGUCAUGGAAAGUGCCUUAUGCCUGUCACAGUAUAACUUUAAAAAAUUAAAAACAUGACUCAUGCAAAUAUUAAGUGAGCAUAUAUCAAAUAUUUUAUUCAAUUCAUUAAUUACUGAGAGAACAAGUAAAAUAGGCUAGUUGAAAGAGCAUUUGAGGAGCUCUGUAUUCAUAGGCCGUUUAAUGAAGGAAUUUUAGAAUAAGAUGGCUAGGUUACAAUAAACCUAACCUUUGGAAUUUUCUCUUCUGACGAAAAUGAUUUGCAACUCUGCUGAACAAAAAUGUGCAAGUUAACAUGUAACUUUACUUAAUCUGGGAUAUUUAAUUUGAUAGUAAAUAGAAUAAUGGAGCAAAGUACAUUCCCUUUAGUAAUUAAAUAGCCUUCGAAGGGGUCUGUGCCCCCAUAUUAUGUUGAAAGGACAUGCUGUCUGCCUUUUGGCCUUAUAUCCGAGUUUUGGAUAACCUUUCUUAACUGUCUUUCAAUAUUCAUUUCUUUUAUCUCUGAAGUUAGAGGCAAGAUGUCUUCCCCUCAGAAGUAUCAUAACAUGUGAAAGGUGUGAACUCACCAAACGUUUGUCUCUCUAUCAUAAUGCCGCUAGUGGAGUAGAUAGGUUCCCUCUUUCCUAGGAAAAUGCAGUGAACCGCAGUGCACAGUGAAACUUGACAGAAGGCUAAAUUGGCACAAUAUGAGGUUUUUUUACUGAGUUAUGAAGUAUUUCUAAUAAUGUCAAUCAAAUGUUCCUAGUUUAAUAUGCGUAGUUCUAGGACUAUUAAUAUACAGUACAUCAUGUUUCAGAUUCAUGUGUGAUUUAAUCUCCAAUAAGAAAUUGUUAGCUUUCUUUCUCUCAGCUUUGUUUUUCUUUAACUUUAUUUAACAGACUUUUAAAAUGGAGUAAAUGGUAGUUAAAUUUAGAAGGUUAACAUUUUCCAAAAAGAUAUCUGUGUUGGUUUAGUGGAUUUAUGGCUCCAUUUUAAAGUUUAAUCUUGUUGUUGUUUUUAAAUAAAACUUUCUAUCUUUGAAUAUUUUUUAAAUGUAGAAAAGUUGCAAAGAUAGUGCCAACUUUUGUAUACCUCCUGCCCAGUUUCCCCCAUUGUUAACAUCUUACAUUACCAUGGUACAUUUGUCAAAACUAAGAACCCGAUGUUAGUAGUACAUGACUAUUAACUAAUUCCAGGCUUUAUUUGGAUUUCACCAGUUAUCCAUCAGUGCGUUCUUUCUUUUCCCAGCAUCCACUUCAGGGUACCACAUUACAUUUAUUUGUCGUGUUUCCCCACUCUCUUCUCGUCUGUAAUAGUUUCUCAGUCUUUCCUUGUUUUUCACAACUUGUGGAAUGUAUCCCAAUCUGGACUUGCCUGAUGUUUUUCUCAUGAUUAGACGGGAGUUAUAUGAGUUUUGGAAGGAAUACCAUGGAGGUGAAGUACCCUUCCCAUCAUAUCAUAUCAGGGAGCAUGCGAUGUCCAUAUGGUGAUCUUAACCUUCAUGACUUGGAUAAGGUGUUGCCAAGUUCCUCCACUGAAAAUGUACUAUUUUCUCGUUUCUCUACUCCGUUCUUUGGAAGUGAGUCACUAAGUCUAGCCUACCCCCACUGGAGGUGGGAGUGAGGGGUUGGGAAGUAGGGGAUGGAAUUAAGUACCACCUCCCAGAAGGGGAAGUAUUUGGAAUUCUUCUGUACGGAAGAUUUUUUGUCUCUUCACCCCUUAUUUAUAUAUUUAUAUAAUCGUUUAUGUCAAGAUGGACACACGUAUAUUUAUUUUAUAGUUUGUGUUAUACUUCAAUUCUAUGUUAUUUAUUUUAUUGCUCAAACUGUUUUAGUUUUAGCUAUUGGAAAUUCUUUCAGAUAGACUCGUGUCCUUUGACGUGUCCCUAUCCUUUUGUUUUUUGAGUACUUCCUUAUUCUCCAGUACUGUGAGAUAUCCCAGAUUUAUGUAUUUGUUUGUAUAUUUUACUUUGUUUACAACUGAUGAAGCUACACUGACAUUGUUUAUUAUCAGUCAAAGUUCUUAGUUUACAUUAGGGUUCACUCUUCAUGGUGUACACUUUGUAGCUUUGGACAAAUGUGUAAUGACCCGUAUCCACCAUUAUAGUAUGACACAGAAUGGUUUCACUGCUCUAAAAACUAGUUCCUCUGUGUUCCUCCUCUUCAUCCCUCCCUCCUACCUAACCCCUGGUAAUCACUCAUCUUUUACUGUCUCCAAAGUUUUGCCUUUUCCAGAAUGUCACAUAGUUGAAACCAUGCAAUGUGUGAUCUUUUCAUACUGCCUUCUUUCACUUAAUAAUAUGCAUUUAAGGUUCCUCCAUAUCUUUUCAUGGCUUAAUAGCUCUUUUUUUUUUUUGGCGCUGAAUACUCUUCCAUUAAUGGAUGUACCAUUAUUUAUGCUUUUUUAUUUAUGUUUAUUUAUCCAUUCACCUACUGAAGGACAUCUUGGUUGCUUCCAACUUUUGGCAAUUAUCACAGGCUUAUUUUGUAUUCUCCCUGUGCUAGCCCUGGAAUCAGCCCAUUUCUCCAAGCUGCCCUGGUUCCUUUUACUGGAAAAUCAUAUUUAGAAACCAGAAUUUAGUCACUGGUUAUCUUUCUGCUACUGGGGGAUUAUUGCUUCUAAGCCCUCUCAGUGCACAGAGCUAUAGCCGUUUUUCUUUUCCUUUUUUUUGCUGGGUAAGAUUUGCCCUGAGUUUAUGGCUAUGGCCAGUCUUUCUCUUUUUUUUCCCUCCCCAAAGCUCUGGUACAUAGUUGUAUAUUCUAGUUGUAAGUCCUUCUAGUUUGUCUAUGUGAGAUGCUGCCACAUCAUGGCUACCGACAGACAAGAGGUGUGGUUCCACGCCUGGGAACCCAGGCUGCUGAAGCAGAGAACGCCCAACUUUAACCACUAGGCUAUGAGGGCUGGCUCAUAAAUAUGUUUUUUAAAUAAGAGAAAGCUAAGCAUUUUUGUUACUUUCUGCCUAUAAAUGUAAUUUGUAAGUGGGAUGUUCAUUCUGAGAGAAUUAGGAAUGUUCUAAAUUGUAAAACCUACAAUUAAGAAAUGUCAUGUAAUAAAAUUUUCUGUUUCUUGUCGUUAAAGCCAGAAUUGGAGGAAGGCUUAGCCUGAAGUAUUUGAAAGAGUUUUUGAUUAUUGUUUUUUUUCAUUUUUUUGUUGGUUUUGUUUUGUUUUUUCUUUUGUUGUUUUGUUACAGGUGUUUUUUUCUUAUUGGGAAUUUUUUUUCCUAAGCUAUGAAGUCAAGCAUGUUCCUUGAAGAUUGCUGUUGGAAGUAUAAAUUGCUGCUGCCUCUCUAGAGGAACACCUUUUCACCCAGAAUUUCAUUUCUAGGAAUUUUUCUUAAGGAAAUAAUUUGACAGCUUUAUAAAGAUGUACAAACAAAAAUGUUGAAAGCAACUUUGGUUGCUUAUACUAGUGAAAAGUUACUAACAACCUAAAUGUCCAUUUAAGAAGAUUGAUUAAUCCUCAGUAUACCAAGAAAAUAGUCAUCACCAUUUACCAUCUGGGAAUAAUGGACCUUAUUUUUAAGCCAUUUUAUGAAUAAUUCACAGAAGUAAAAAUAAAGGGAUAGCAAAAAUCAACUUUAUUAGAAUUUAAUAAGAAUUUAAAUAUAGCAAACCCAUAUUUUUAAAAACUGCUUUAUUGAGAGUUUACUUACAUAAAAUUCACCAAUUUAAAGUGUACAAUUUAGUGGGUUUUAGUAUAUUUUCACAGUUGUUCAAACAUCACCAUAAUGGAAUUGAAGAAUAUUUUUAUUACCCAAAAAGAAACUUUUUCCUGUUGGCAGUCACUCCUCAUCCUCCCUCCCACCCUAGGCAACCACUGAUCAGUGUACUUUAUGUCUCUGUGGAUUUUCGCAUUCUGGAUAUUUCAUAUAAAUGGAAUCACACAGUAUAUCAUAGUUUGUGACUGGUUUGUUUCACUUUGCAUAAUAUUUUCCAUGUCCGUCCAAGUUGUAACCUGUAUCAAUAAUUCAGGCCUUAUUAUUGCCAAAUAGUAUAGCACAUUUGUUUAUCCAUUCAGCAGGUAACGGACAUUUGGGUUGUUUCUACUUUUUGGCUAUUAUGAAUAAUGUUUCUUUGAACAUUAGAGUACAAGUAUUUGUGUGAAGGUGUUUUCGUUUCUCUUGGGUAGGUACUUAGGUGUGAAAUUGAUGGGUCACAUGGUAGGUUUAACUGUGUUAUGAACUGCUAGGCUGUUUUCCACAGUGGCUGCACCAUUUUACAAUCCCACUGGCAGUAUAUAAAGAUUCCAAUUUCUCCACAUCCUUGUCAACACUUAUAAAU